GAUGAACGCUGGCGGCGUGCCUAAUACAUGCAAGUAGAACGCUGAAGGAAGGAGCUUGCUCUUUCCGGAUGAGUUGCGAACGGGUGAGUAACGCGUAGGUAACCUGCCUGGUAGCGGGGGAUAACUAUUGGAAACGAUAGCUAAUACCGCAUAACAGUAGAUGUUGCAUGACAACUAUUUGAAAGGGGCAAUUGCUCCACUACCAGAUGGACCUGCGUUGUAUUAGCUAGUUGGUGAGGUAACGGCUCACCAAGGCGACGAUACAUAGCCGACCUGAGAGGGUGAUCGGCCACACUGGGACUGAGACACGGCCCAGACUCCUACGGGAGGCAGCAGUAGGGAAUCUUCGGCAAUGGACGGAAGUCUGACCGAGCAACGCCGCGUGAGUGAAGAAGGUUUUCGGAUCGUAAAGCUCGGUUGUAAGAGAAGAACGAGUGUGAGAGUGGAAAGUUCACACUGUGACGGUAUCUUACCAGAAAGGGACGGCUAACUACGUG
rnacentral:rRNA from 1 species